GAUGAACGCUGGCGGCGUGCCUAAUACAUGCAAGUCGAGCGAACAGACGAGGAGCUUGCUCCUCUGACGUUAGCGGCGGACGGGUGAGUAACACGUGGAUAACCUACCUAUAAGACUGGGAUAACUUCGGGAAACCGGAGCUAAUACCGGAUAAUAUAUUGAACCGCAUGGUUCAAUAGUGAAAGACGGUUUUGCUGUCACUUAUAGAUGGAUCCGCGCCGCAUUAGCUAGUUGGUAAGGUAACGGCUUACCAAGGCAACGAUGCGUAGCCGACCUGAGAGGGUGAUCGGCCACACUGGAACUGAGACACGGUCCAGACUCCUGCGGGAGGCAGCAGUAGGGAAUCUUCCGCAAUGGGCGAAAGCCUGACGGAGCAACGCCGCGUGAGUUAUGAAGGUCUUCGGAUCGUAAAACUCUGUUAUUAGGGAAGAACAAAUGUGUAAGUAACUAUGCACGUCUUGACGGUACCUAAUCAGAAAGCCACGGCUAACUACGUG
rnacentral:rRNA from 1 species